rnacentral:tRNA from 1 species
CCUGGUGGCUGAGGUUAAAGCAUCUGCCUGCAAUCCAGGAGACCUGGGUUCAAUCCCUGGAUCAGGA